AGUGAACGCUGGCGGUAGGCCUAACACAUGCAAGUCGAACGGCAGCACAGUAAGAGCUUGCUCUUACGGGUGGCGAGUGGCGGACGGGUGAGGAAUACAUCGGAAUCUACUUUUUCGUGGGGGAUAACGUAGGGAAACUUACGCUAAUACCCCAUACGACCUACGGGUGAAAGCAGGGGAUCUUCGGACCUUGCGCGAUUGAAUGAGCCGAUGUCGGAUUAGCUAGUUGGCGGGGUAAAGGCCCACCAAGGCGACGAUCCGUAGCUGGUCUGAGAGGAUGAUCAGCCACACUGGAACUGAGACACGGUCCAGACUCCUACGGGAGGCAGCAGUGGGGAAUAUUGGACAAUGGGCGCAAGCCUGAUCCAGCCAUACCGCGUGGGUGAAGAAGGCCUCCGGGUUGUAAAGCCCUUUUGUUGGGAAAGAAAAGCAGCAGGUUAAUACCCCGCUGUUCUGACGGUACCCAAAGAAUAAGCACCGGCUAACUUCGUG
rnacentral:rRNA from 1 species